GUCUGACACUUCGCUUGCUGCUUACGUUCAAAAUGGAUGUGUUUUGAUUUUUCUUCGAUUUAUUUUACUGGCUUUGUUAUAUGGAUUUUAUUCUCCCUUCAACGACAACUUUGGUUCAGGAGCUAAGGAUCACAGCUACAUUAGAUUAUGGAUACCGAUCAAUAACGUUUCAUGCUACGACUGAAAAACAUUUUGUGAAUUGUGGUUUUAACCUAACCGAGAUUCAAAACCAUACCUUUGAAUCGAAAAAAAUAAGCGUGAUACAGCAGUGGGUUGCCCCACAGCAGAUGUGAAGAGAUAAUCAUGUUUGCCACAACUGCUGAUUGGUGCUAGCCUUGCUCUUCAACAAGAGCCAGAAGGAUUUGUAUGUCACAAUAGCUGCAUUUAUUAUGGACGGUCUGUUAGACGGAUAAGAAGUCACUUAUAAGAACAGAUACAGAUAGAAAGUCUCAUUAGAUAUGUUGGAAAAUGCACAGUAGGUUGUUGUGCACAUAUUAUGACUGUGCUUUGGUAUAUAGAUUGGGCAAGAUAUCAAUCAAAUAUAUGUCCUCCUGUGCUAUUUUUAGAUGACUUACUAAUUGUGUAUGAAGAUGAAGAAAAUAUAGAUAUUUAAAGAAG